AUUUUCCACAAUGGACGAAAGUCUGAUGGAGCAACGCCGCGUGAACGAUGAAGGUCUUCGGAUUGUAAAGUUCUGUUGUCAGGGACGAACAAGUACCGUUCGAACAGGGCGAUACCUUGACGGUACCUGACGAGAAAGCCACGGCUAACUGCGUGCCAGCAGCCGCGGUAAUACGUAGGUGGCAAGCGUUGUCCGGAUUUAUUGGGCGUAAAGCGCGCGCAGGCGGCUAUGUAAGUAUGGUGUUAAAGCCCGGGGCUCAACCCCGGUUCGCAUCGGAAACUGCAGAGCUUGAGUGCAGAAGAGGAAAGCGGUAUUCCACGUGUAGCGGUGAAAUGCGUAGAGAUGUGGAGGAACACCAGUGGCGAAGGCGGCUUUCUGGUCUGUAACUGACGCUGAGGCGCGAAAGCGUGGGGAGCAAACAGG
rnacentral:rRNA from 1 species